UACGGAGGGAGCUAGCGUUGUUCGGAAUUACUGGGCGUAAAGCGCACGUAGGCGGCUUUGUAAGUUAGAGGUGAAAGCCCGGGGCUCAACCCCGGAAUUGCCUUUAAGACUGCAUCGCUUGAAUCCGGGAGAGGUGAGUGGAAUUCCGAGUGUAGAGGUGAAAUUCGUAGAUAUUCGGAAGAACACCAGUGGCGAAGGCGGCUCACUGGACCGGUAUUGACGCUGAGGUGCGAAAGCGUGGGGAGUAAACAGG
rnacentral:rRNA from 1 species